GGGGUUAUAGCUCAGCUGGGAGAGCGCUUGCAUGGCAUGCAAGAGGUCGACGGUUCGAUCCCGUCUAGCUCCA
rfam:Serratia sp. DD3 SRDD_contig000032, whole genome shotgun sequence.